rnacentral:lncRNA from 1 species
AAGAGGUGAAUGAAGCCCCUGUCCCAGCACCGGCCCAGUGGGGUGAGCCUUGCAUACCCCGUGAGGACUACCAAUAUACAUUAGCUUUUGUCCUUUCUGUGCCCUAAAGCUGUCUCUAUCUGCCCAAGCCCCUCCUGUCUUCCCAUCCACUGACCCCUUCCCCUACACUUCAGCCACACUUCUGUACUCCCUAAAGCCCCUAAGUAAGGCUCCACGCCCAGCUCUGGGCUCCUGAGUGGCAGGAAAGAUACUUAGCGCUCACUGAGACUGGUCUGGCCCCAGCAUGAAAUUAACACCUCUUACACAGUCCCAGGAGAGCGUGCUCUUAGGUCUCCAGCUACCCCGAGGUGGCACAGAGUAGCCAUUACCGGGGCUUCCUAUGCAAAGCCCUUCAGGCUCCAUUAGUGCAGGUGAGCAGACAGCAAACAGCUCAGAGCUGAAAGGAAGGAAGCCCUGGUGUUCCGAGGGAGAUGUAUACUGUGUGGGCCUGUAUGUGCGUUCCCACAGGCACCUGUCUGUACACACGUGUGCACGUGUUCAGACACAUGCUUGCAGGCCAGUGUGCAUCCGAUACGUGAUGGUAUACAGGUGUACACACGUGUUUAUACAUGUGUGCAAGACAUUGUGUAUAUGUGUCAUGCACGGGUGUGGACAUGUUCCUGUGUAUGUGCACAGAUUCCUGUGCAUAGACAUGUGCACGUGUGCUGCUGGUAUGAG